rnacentral:lncRNA from 1 species
GAAUUGGGGAAGACGAUGCCAAGGUAGUGCCAUUUUUUUGUGAUACUAUGUGGAACGGUUAACAGGGACGCACAGAGGUAAACUACAAGAAGGAAGAAUCAGAAGCAGGUUCGAUUCCAACAGGAUAUGAUAUGGCAAGCUGCCAAGCAUCACUCAUCGCCAAGGCUAAGGUAAGGUGUCCACAAGAAACAAGCGGCUAGACAACAGUGAGUCCAAAAAUAGAGAGCCGACCGCUAGGCUGUGGGCAGCAAGCUGCCAAUCUGGGAAAGAGUACAGCACCAAAACCAAAAGCAUCGACAUCAUCGCCGCCGCCGCCGUGUAUGGAGAGAAACAUAAACACACCAGAGAGUUGAGAGCAGAGCAAGAAGAGAACUUAAAAUGGCAUAAAUCAUAAUCAUACAUGGAGGAGG